CUACGGGGCGCAGCAGUGAGGAAUAUUGCACAAUGGGGGGUACCCUGAUGCAUCAACGCCGCGUGGAGGAUGACGCAUUUCGGUGUGUAAACUCCUUUUAUAUGUCAAGAAAAUGACGGUAGCAUAUGAAUAAGCACCGGCUAACUCCGUGCCAGCAGCCGCGGUAAUACGGAGGGUGCAAGCGUUACUCGGAAUCACUGGGCGUAAAGGACGCGUAGGCGGGUUGGAAAGUCAGGUGUGAAAUCCUACAGCUUAACUGUAGAACUGCACUUGAAACUUCUAAUCUAGAGUAUGGGAGGGGGAGAUGGAAUUAGUGGUGUAGGGGUAAAAUCCGUAGAUAUCACUAGGAAUACCUAAAGCGAAGGCGAUCUCCUGGAACAUUACUGACGCUAAGGCGUGAAAGCGUGGGGAGCAAACAGGAUUAGAUACCCUAGUAGUC
rnacentral:rRNA from 1 species